rnacentral:rRNA from 1 species
GAGCUUGCUCCCUGAUGUUAGCGGCGGACGGGUGAGUAACACGUGGGUAACCUGCCUGUAAGACUGGGAUAACUCCGGGAAACCGGGGCUAAUACCGGAUGGUUGUUUGAACCGCAUGGUUCAGACAUAAAAGGUGGCUUCGGCUACCACUUACAGAUGGACCCGCGGCGCAUUAGCUAGUUGGUGAGGUAACGGCUCACCAAGGCGACGAUGCGUAGCCGACCUGAGAGGGUGAUCGGCCACACUGGGACUGAGACACGGCCCAGACUCCUACGGGAGGCAGCAGUAGGGAAUCUUCCGCAAUGGACGAAAGUCUGACGGAGCAACGCCGCGUGAGUGAUGAAGGUUUUCGGAUCGUAAAGCUCUGUUGUUAGGGAAGAACAAGUGCCGUUCAAAUAGGGCGGCACCUUGACGGUACCUAACCAGAAAGCCACGGCUAACUACGUGCCAGCAGCCGCGGUAAUACGUAGGUGGCAAGCGUUGUCCGGAAUUAUUGGGCGUAAAGGGCUCGCAGGCGGUUUCUUAAGUCUGAUGUGAAAGCCCCCGGCUCAACCGGGGAGGGUCAUUGGAAACUGGGGAACUUGAGUGCAGAAGAGGAGAGUGGAAUUCCACGUGUAGCG